rnacentral:rRNA from 1 species
GUAGGUGGCAAGCGUUGUCCGGAAUUAUUGGGCGUAAAGCGCGCGCAGGCGGUUCUUUAAGUCUGAUGUGAAAGCCCACGGCUCAACCGUGGAGGGUCAUUGGAAACUGGAGAACUUGAGUACAGAAGAGGAAAGCGGAAUUCCACGUGUAGCGGUGAAAUGCGUAGAGAUGUGGAGGAACACCAGUGGCGAAGGCGGCUUUCUGGUCUGUAACUGACGCUGAGGCGCGAAAGCGUGGGGAGCAAACAGGAUUAGAUACCCUGGUAGUCCACGCCGUAAACGAUGAGUGCUAAGUGCUAGGGGGUUUCCGCCCCUUAGUGCUGCAGCUAACGCAUUAAGCACUCCGCCCUGGGAGUACGGCCGCAAGGCUG